UCAUCUGUUACCUAUCUCGGCAUAAUUCUCAUAAAAACACACGUGCUCUCCCUGCUGAUUGUGUCCGAUUAAUCUCCCAAACCUCAAUCCCUUACAAAACAACUCCUUUCCUUCCUAGGCAUGGUUAGUGCAGUCAGAAUUCUUACACAAGAGCCAGGACUGCACCCUGUAGCCUUUCUGUCCAAAAGACUUGACUUUACUGUUUAGCCUAGCCCUCAUGUCUGUGUGCAGCGGCUGCCGCUGCUUUAAUACUUUUAGAGGCCCUAAAAAUCACAAACUAUGCUCAACUCACUCUCUACAUUUCUCAUAACUUCCAAAAUCUAUUUUCUUCCUCAUACCUGACGCAUACACUUUCUGCUCCCCGGCUCCUUCAGCUAUACUCACUCUUUGUUAAGUCCCACAAUUACCAUUAUUCCUGGUCCGGACUUCAAUCUGGCCUCCCACAUUAUUCCUGAUACCACACCUGACCCCCAUGACUGUAUCUCUCUGAUCCACCUGACAUUCCCCCCCCC
rnacentral:lncRNA from 1 species